AUGGCGACCCUCGUGGCCACCAUGGUGGUCGGACCACUGCUAUCCAUUGUGAAGGACAAGGCGUCUAGCUACCUCCUCGACCAGUAUAAGGUGAUGAAAGGCAUGGAAGAGCAACAUGAGAUCCUGAAGCGCAAAUUGCCUGCCAUCCUGGAUAUCAUCACCGAUGCUGAGCAGGCAGCAACCCACAGAGAAGGCGUAGCAGCCUGGCUCGAGGCCAUCAAGAACGUGGCUUACCAGGCGAAUGAAGUUUUUGACGAGUUCAAGUAUGAGGCGCUCCGUCGUCAAGCAAAAAAGAAGGGGCACUACAAGGAGCUUGGCUUUGAUGUGGUAAAACUCUUUCCCACACACAACCGUUUCAUAUUCCGUAAUAGAAUGGGAAGAAAGCUCCGCAAGAUUGUGCAGGCCAUUGAGGUCCUUGUGUCCGAAAUGAAUGCCUUUGGCUUUAAGUAUCAGCAACAACCGCCGGUAUCCAGUCAGUUACGGCGGACAGGUCCUGCUAUCAUUGAUCCAAAGGAAAUCAAGGAAAUCAUCAGCAAAUCCAGAGCCAAUGAUAAGGGUGCAAUUGUUAGUAGACUAGUUGGGCAAGCUAAUAAUGAAGAUCUCACAGUUGUUCCCAUCGUUGGAAUGGGGGGUCUCGGCAAGACCACGCUAGCACAACUUGUUUACAAGGAACCUACAAUUCAAGAGCAUUUUGGUUUGUUUAUAUGGGUGUGUGUCUCUGAAUGCUUUGAUGUGCAUUCUCUGGCUAAAAGUAUAGUUGAAGCAGCUCUUAGGAAGAAGGAUGAUGGUACAGAAGCAACUCCCAGGCAGAAGAAUGAUGGUACAGAAGCAGUUUCUGAGAAGAUACCACUUGAUACCCUUCAGAAUGUUGUGAGCGGGCAAAGGUACCUCCUUGUAUUGGAUGAUGUCUGGGAACGACAAGUUCAUAUUUGGGAUGAGCUCAAGGCCUGCCUUCAACAUGGUGGCAGGGGUAGUGUGGUUUUAACAACAACUCGUGAUAAAGGAGUGGCUAAAAAAAUGGGUCAUGAUGUUGAAGCCUAUAAUCUCCAACCUUUGGGAGAUCAAUUCAUAAAGGAAAUCAUUGAGACAAGAGCAUUUAGCUAUUUACACAGGGAAGAGGAAAGGCCUGACAAGUUGGUAAAUAUGGUUGAUGAGAUUGUGAAGAGAUGUGUUGGUUCUCCUUUAGCUGCAACGGCACUUGGCUCUGUACUACGUAACAAAACCAGUGAGGAAGAAUGGAAAGCUAUAUCAACCACAAGCAGCAUUUGCACCGAGGAGACUGGAAUUUUACCAAUACUCAAGCUCAGUUACAAUGACUUGCCAUCACAAAUGAAGCAAUGCUUUGUUUUUUGUGCUGUAUUUCCCAAAGAUUACGAGAUUCAUAUGAACAAGUUGAUCCAACUAUGGAUUGCACAUGGAUUCAUCCAGGAAAAGCAAGCUCAUCUUGAAACCAUUGGCAAACUGAUUUUCGAUGAGCUAGCAUCAAGGUCAUUCUUUCAGGAUGUGGAACUAGGCCAAGCCACGAAACCCUCAACAACAAAAAAAGUUCAUGCCACAAGUAGUCAGGACUUCGUGUUGUGUUACUCUAGAACAGCAUGUAAAAUCCAUGAUCUUAUGCAUGAUGUUGCACUUUCGGUAAUGGAAAAGGAAUGUGCCUUGGCAACCGAGGAACCAGGCAAGAUUGAAUCUGUUGUCGCAACUGAGGAACCAAGUCAGAGUGAGUGGCUUCCAAACACAGCUCGGCAUUUAUUUUUGUCAUGCAAGGACCCAGGAAAAAAAUUGAAUUGUUCUCUGGAGAACAGCUUUCCAGCCAUCCAAACACUUUUGUGUGAUAGCUAUAUGAGUAGUUCACUGCAACAUCUGUCAAAAUACACCUCUUUGCAAGCAUUACAACUCUGUUCACAUAGAAGAUCAUUUCCGCUGAAACCAAAACAUCUACAUCACCUGAGGUACCUAGAUCUCUCAAGAAGUCAUAUCGAAGCACUUCCUGAAGAUAUCAGCAUUCUAUACAACCUUCAGACACUCAACCUCUCUGGUUGCACAUCUCUUUGUGAACUUCCGAGGCAAAUGAAGUAUAUGACUGCCCUGCAUCACCUUUACACUCAUGGUUGUCCAGAGCUGAAGAGCAUGCCAAGAGACCUCAGAAUGCUCACAUCCCUACAAACACUUACAUGCUUUGUAGUAGGUAGUGGCUCUAGUUGCAGUAAUGUGGGAGAGCUUGGAAAUUUAAACCUUGGUGGUCAACUAGAGCUGCGUAAUCUGGCAAACGUGACAGAAGUGGAUGCAAAAGCAGCAAACCUCGUGAAUAAGGAGCUAAGAAAACUGACAUUAACAUGGACUAGCUGGCGGGAUAAUGAAGAGGACACAAGAGUGCUCGAGAAUCUCAAACCUCAUGAUGGACUAGAUGCCAUAAGGAUACACUCAUAUGGAGCCACCACCUUCCCGACAUGGAUGACUAUGUUGCAAAACUUUGUUGAAAUCAAUCUUUUCAGCUGUAGAAAACUAGUAUGGUUGUUCAGCGGUAGGUGUGAUAGAUCGUUUACAUUUCCAAAUCUGAAGAAGCUUAAGCUAGUAAGUAUGCCUUGUUUGGAGAGAUGGUGGGAAAUAGAUAAUGAUGGGAUGCAAGAGAAGAGAAUGUUUCCUCUGCUUGAGAAGUUGUGUAUUAUUGGCUGUAUAAAGUUGAAAGCAUUUCCAGGACAUCCGACCUUCCUAACCUACAGAAUGUUUGUAUUGUGGGAUGCCCAGAAUUGA
rnacentral:rRNA from 1 species